UCCAGUAAGUCAAGGAGCGCCCUACAACCCAGAUGGUCAGCCGAUGGGGGGCUUCGUCAUGGACGGCCAGCAGCACAUGGGAAUCAGACCACCUGGGCCGAUGGGUGGAAUGGGCAUGAACAUGGGCAUGGAAGGUCAGUGGCACUACAUGUAGCCCCUCCCUCUCGAGUCCGACCAAUCACCACCCAGAUGGGAAUAGCUGUGGGGACAAACCCUGGGGGGUCACGUGCGCCGGAGACCGAGGAGCUCCACUUCCUGAUCCAACCCCCCACCUCCAAGACUCAACGUUAGAUUUGGCUCGUCUUCAACACCCCCCAGCCCCCCCUCUGAAAAGACUCCACUUCCUCUGGUGGGCACAUGACUUACCCCCCCAAUCCUAAACCCACAAAAGCCCCCCCCCCAUUGAUUGUGAUUGGAGCAGAGCCGACGGACUGGUCGCCUGCCGUGAAUGUGGCACCUGAAGACUCCCUCCUCUGAUUGGCGGGUUGGGGGGGUUGGCGCCGCAGCACCAUCGCCCGCAGGGAGGGGGCGCUCUUUACGGACGCAGAAGCAGAGAGGAUUUACUGUAAACUGUUGUACAAUGACGCUGGACUCCUGUAAAUGCUGUUGUAUUGUUCUGCAUAUUAUGUUGUUUCUAAUAGAUUUUUUUAAAAACUAAAGAUGUGAACUUUUUCUUUGUUUUGGUUCGGGUUUCUUUCCACACUUCGUGGGCCGCCUGUCCGUCAUCAGACCCGCCCCUCCCCCACUGAGACAUCAUGCAUUUUUUAAAGACAGACAUGAAUAAAUGAAAAAAUGCACUCUU